AGACUUUAUCUAUCCCUUCAGUUUUGAGGUUGGUGUACUGUGUGUUAGUAUAUAUAUCUAUAUAAAUAUAUAUAGAUAUAUAUUUAUCACAUGCAGUCACUAUCUUAGAAAGUGAGGGUGCACAUC
rnacentral:pre_miRNA from 1 species